GACGAACGCUGGCGGCGUGCUUAACACAUGCAAGUCGAACGGAAAGGCCCUGCUUUUGUGGGGUGCUCGAGUGGCGAACGGGUGAGUAACACGUGAGUAACCUGCCCUUGACUUUGGGAUAACUUCAGGAAACUGGGGCUAAUACCGGAUAGGAUCUCCUGCUGCAUGGUGGGGGUUGGAAAGUUUCGGCGGUUGGGGAUGGACUCGCGGCUUAUCAGCUUGUUGGUGGGGUAGUGGCUUACCAAGGCUUUGACGGGUAGCCGGCCUGAGAGGGUGACCGGCCACAUUGGGACUGAGAUACGGCGCAGACGCCUACGGGCGGCAGCAGUGGGGAAUAUUGCGCAAUGGGCGGAAGCCUGAUGCAGCAACGCCGCGUGCGGGAUGACGGCCUUCGGGUUGUAAACCGCUUUCGCCUGUGACGAAGCGUUAGUGACGGUAAUGGGUAAAGAAGCACCGGCUAACUACGUG
rnacentral:rRNA from 1 species